GGUUGUCUUCUAUGGAAGUUCAAUAAAACUCGUUUUCUCUCGAGCUGAAAAACUGUUGGUUGGCAUGGCACCUCAGGUGGGUCUAUGAGAUUUUGGAAUUAAAUUUCCAUUUCACGGUGGUUCCUCUCUUUCUCAUAAGCCUAGCUGUUGUUUACAACCACAAUGAUGUCAAUGCUUUGGAGCUGAUUAAUUUUACUUGGCAAAGUUCAGUUUCUUUCACACCCCUCACCAAACCUCUCUUUUUGUGAUAUUGCACAUGCACGUCCUCUUUUUGUGUUCUU
rnacentral:misc_RNA from 1 species